rnacentral:rRNA from 1 species
UACGUAGGGUGCAAGCGUUGUCCGGAAUUAUUGGGCGUAAAGAGCUCGUAGGUGGCGGGUCACGUCGGGUGUGAAAGCCCGGGGCUUAACUCCGGGUCUGCAUUCGAUACGGGUCUGCUGGGGUCCGGCAGGGGAGACUGGAAUUCCUGGUGUAGCGGUGAAAUGCGCAGAUAUCAGGAGGAACACCGGUGGCGAAGGCGGGUCUCUGGGCCGGUACCGACGCUGAGGAGCGAAAGCGUGGGGAGCGAACAGG